rnacentral:tRNA from 1 species
CAGGACAUAAUUUAAGAAGAAUGUUGGCUUUGGGGGCCAGUAGUGGAGGUUUGAGUCCUCUUGUCUUGA